rnacentral:rRNA from 1 species
GACGAACGCUGGCGGCGUGCUUAACACAUGCAAGUCGAGCGGUAAGGCCCUUUCGGGGGUACACGAGCGGCGAACGGGUGAGUAACACGUGGGUGACCUGCCCUCAGCUCUGGGAUAAGCCUGGGAAACCGGGUCUAAUACCGGAUAUGACUCCAUGACGCAUGUUGUGGGGUGGAAAGCCUUGUGCGGCUGAGGAUGGGCCCGCGGCCUAUCAGCUUGUUGGUGGGGUGAUGGCCUACCAAGGCGACGACGGGUAGCCGGCCUGAGAGGGCGACCGGCCACACUGGGACUGAGACACGGCCCAGACUCCUACGGGAGGGCAGCAGUGGGGAAUCUUGCGCAAUGGGCGAAAGCCUGACGCAGCGACGCCGCGUGAGGGAUGAC